UUAAAAGUGUGUGCCACUAUGCCUAUCCUUGAUUGGUCUGAAAUGUACUGAACCCAAGGUUUAUAUAUGUGUAUUAGUGUUUUGUGUGUUAUGUAUGUGUAACAUGUACAUGGUUGGUGCCCUCAGAGGUAAAAAAAAAAAAAAAAAAGGAUGUUAAUCAAUAUGAACUAAUCAGUACCCCCAGAGCUUCCUGGGACUAAACCACCAAUCAAAGAAAACACAUGGUGGGACUCGUGUCUCUAGCUGCAUAUGUAGCAGAGGAUGAUGGUCUAGUUGGUCAUUAAUGGGAGGAGAGGCCCUUAGUUCUGUGAAGGUUCUAUGACCCAGUAUAGGGGAAUGCCAGGGCCAGGAAGCAGGAGUGGGGGAGGGGGGAAGGGAGGGGAUUUUCGGAGAGGAAACUAGGAAAGGGGAUAACAUUUGAAAUGUGAAUAAAGAAAAUAUCUAAUUUUAAAAAAAGUGUUGAUUCGACGACAGCCAGGGCUGUUGUCUCAAAAAACCAGCCAAACAAACAAAAGAGGAUGUUGGAUCCCCUGGCCCUGAAGUUAUGGGCGGUUGGGAAUCUGUGUCGGUGCUGGGAACUAACCCUGGAUCCUCUGCAGGAGGAACAACUGCCCUUUUUUUUAAAAAAUUUUUUCCACUGUGACUCCAGCUCUCAAACUGGAUAUUUUUGAAGUACCUAGUAGGGUCUUUCAUGGUUUGUUUCCAGUUACCCUGUUCUUACAGUUUUCUGUUUUGUGUCCUCUCUGGACAUGAGGUUUGAUUGAUCAUCUAUGUUGUCGAUUUGGUCUUCCACUCUCUUCACAGUGAACUUCUGGUUUUGGUUUGUGCUGUGCUGGGGUCAGCAUGGAAGUAAGUCAGUCCUCUGUUGCUGAGUCAUUUUUCCAGCACAAAGGUCCUUAACUACUCAAAUGUAUCUUUUCAAAAGCUUUCCUGUUGGCCUGGGGAUGCUCUGGUCAUGGGGUAGUCUGUCUGCCUGGCAGAGGCACUGCUGUUUGACCUUUACAGUGAGAUCCAUGCUUUUCUUGGGGAUUUUCUAAUAACUUAUGGUGGGAUGUAGGUUCAACAUUUUUUUUUUCUUUUUCAAAGAUUUAUUAUUUAUUGUAUGUGACUACACUGUUGCUGUCUUCAGACACACCAGAAGAGGGCAUCAGAUCCCUUUAUAGAUGGUUGUGAGCCACCAUGUAGUCAUGUAGCUGCUACGAAUUGAACUCAGGACCUCUGGAAGAACAGUAAGUGCUUUUAACUGCUGAGCCAUCUUUCCUGCCCUCUCAACAUUUUUUUUUUAAAGAUAGUUCGGUAUGCUCUUUCAAGGCCUUUAUUCUAGAACUUGAGAUAGGAGUUCAAGGCCAGCCUGGCUAACAUAGCAAGUUCCAGGCCAGCUGAGGCUUUGGACACAUAGGGGCAGCGCCCCCCACCCCCCAAUGUAGAUGAGGCACCUGUAACAUCUCAGACCAAGCCAGUAGGAAGCACCCGCUUUUAGACUCCAACCCACUCCAAAACUAUAGAAGAUCCUAUCUAGAAAGAAUAAAGGUGUGUGAAAAAUCCAUCACCAUGCACCGCACUUGCUAGCCAACCCUCUGCCAGCUCAGCGUAGACAGGGCAGCAUCUGGGAACAACAGAGGUGGCAGGGCCAGCACCAAAGCAGCUGCAGCGGUUGCACUUCCCCCUCCCUGCUUGCACUCUUUCUCCUUCCCUUGAAUGCUCCCUCCCUGGAUAUCGUCUGGUCCACAGACCAGCAACUGGCGCCCAUGUGGACCAUGGCCAGCUGAAGGUACCCCAGCUGGCGACUACUCAGACCCACAUCGGAACUCCUGAUUAAACAAGACUGUGAAUAAACCUCUGACACU
rnacentral:lncRNA from 1 species